AGCCAAGAUUCAAAGUCUGACUUCACAGUACUGGUUCUGCUCUAUCUUGGGAAGUGUCUCCAACACAGAUGAGGAGAGGGCAGCCAGUGAACUCACGGUGGGUCCCCAGGAGGCAAGGCAGGACUGCUUCCCCUCCUUAUCCCUACUCUAAUGCCCACUCACCUGUCUUCCCCAGGCACUUCCCCAUUGUCCCAGAUUUCCCUUGCCUUAGAGCCUGGGCCUCCCGGAAGGAAAUGGCAUGUGGUCUGGGGGUGGAGGCUAUUACCCUGGGCAAAGACAUUUUAAUCCUUGCGCUGAUGGCGUCCUCAACCAAGGACUGUGGAUUGACAUUCUCAUUCUUCCAUUAGCCUCUGACCUUUGCCAAAGCCUUCUCCCUCUCUGACCUUAACCUGAACUUCUGAACUGGGGCUCGCUCAGUUCUGCUGAAAGGGAGAGUUGCUCCCUAGUUGAGAGAGUGACAGUGGGUGACAUUCAUUAGACUGUCUUCACAUGUCUGUAUCCCCAGUUCCUGGCACUGAGCCUUGCACACAUAGGAGCCCAGCACACAUGGGACACAGAAUGCCGAAUGAGGAGUCCUUUCUCUGAGAGUCUGGGAAUAGGGAAGGGGCUGGAGUCCCCUUUUCCAGGAAAGCUAAAGAUAGGCAAACAGAGCCCUAGAGUAAUGCGAGCCGCCUGCCAGGAGGCUGGGAGCUGGGCUUGGAUCAGAGGCUCUUUCUUCUAUCCCCGGUUUCCCUAGGGGUAGCGCUGGAGCUCCUGGGACCAGCAGGGGCCUGGCUAGGGACGAUGUAAACCCUCUUGUUCUCACAACUUGUGUUGUCGCACCUUUCAGGAUCAGGAAUGGAUUGUUUUCUAAGCCUUGGACUAAUUCACUCACUUCCCAUCUGCUUCCCUCCCACCCCACCAGGGUGUCAGUGGCUGGGGCAGCUAUCUUGAGCUGGAGUCACCCAGCCUGGCCAAGAACUGGAAAAGUCUCUUUGGAGAUUUGGACCCAUUUCUGAAAAGCUCAUGAAAACCACUUUGCCUUGGACUCCUGCGCCCACCCAGAGCCCUCCAUAUACAUUUAACCCAAAUCCCCAACUCCAGUGAUGACUACAGGUUGGGGGAACCCCGAGAGCAAGGGAGGUGAGGAAACUGAUGUCCAGAAAGCAGCAGGCAUCAGUGGAGACACUCCUAGCCCUGCUACCUUCUCCUCACUGCCCACACUUCCAGGUUCAGACAAACCGGAAAGGAAACCCACCAUGCAGGACUGUCCAUGUGAUGGCUCUUCCUGUGGCUCCAUUUCUAAGCACCUCCGAGGACCUCACCAUGGCCCAGGACCGCAAGCCAAGGCCACCCCAGUGUCCUUACCAUCCUGGGAAUGGGAGGAGCCAGGCCCAGCCUUGUCCUGUCUGCCCCCCUGGAAGCCUUCCCUGAGCACUGGCCUCUUAUUUACCCGUCUUUGUCUCUGGCCUGUUGGUAGCUGUCUCUUGUCUGAUUAGGGAACCCUUGAGGUCAGGAUCUUUGCCUCCCCAAUCAGAUUGUCAGGCAGGAGUGGGGGUAGUGCAGAUGCUGGGUCAUUUCUACAUGUGAGACCAAAUAGUGGUCCUGUUUAAGUUGAUCCCCUUGAAAGAAAAUUCUGGAAAAGCUCCUCAGAUUCACAGAUACACAGAAUCAGACCUUGGGCAAAGUGUGUAGUUGUGCUUUUGAAGCUGUGCAACCUUGGACAAACUACUUGACUUCUCUGUGCCUCAGUUUCCUUAUCUGUGAAAUGGGGAGUAGUCGUGAUACCUUCCCCAUGAGGUUGAUGGGAGGAUUGAGUUAAUAUUUAUAAAGCAUUUCAGACAGUGCCAGAAAUAUACUGUGUGUUAAAUAAGUAUUUCGUACACACACACACCCACACACACUUCAGAGUUCUGCCAGGCCAGGGCUCAUAGCCUUGAAUCUACCCAUGAUAGAGAGUCAGACAACUUACCUUGCAGGCUGCCUGCUCUCCCAGCAGCCAUGCAGGGGAUCUUCUGCCUCUGCACUGCCGAUUAUCCCCUGCCCUGGUCAGUGCCUCUCUCCAAAAGUACCUCCAAGGCCACAGUUAU